UGACCCUUUAAGCCGAGGGUCACCUAGCCAACUGACGUUGUUAGUGAACUAGAUUGUUCACAAGUAUAUAUAGCCAAUCACAUCUUUUGUGGUUGGCUUUUUUUUC
rnacentral:sRNA from 1 species